rnacentral:rRNA from 1 species
CCGCUUUGGGAGGGGCCUGCGUCCCAUCAGCUAGUUGGUCGGGUAACGGCUGACCAAGGCGAUGACGGGUAGGGGACCUGAGAGGGUGAUCCCCCACACUGGCACUGAAACACGGGCCAG